UGGGGAAUAUUGCACAAUGGGGGAAACCCUGAUGCAGCGACGCCGCGUGAACGAAGAAGUUAUUCGUAUCGUAAAGUUCUGUCCUAUGGGAAGAUAAUGACAGUACCAUAGAAGAAAGCUCCGGCUAAAUACGUGCCAGCAGCCGCGGUAAUACGUAUGGAGCGAGCGUUGUCCGGAAUUAUUGGGCGUAAAGGGUACGCAGGCGGUUUAAUAAGUCGAAUGUUAAAGAUCGGGGCUCAACCCCGUAAAGCAUUGGAAACUGAUAAACUUGAGUAGUGGAGAGGAAAGUGGAAUUCCUAGUGUAGUGGUGAAAUACGUAGAUAUUAGGAGGAAUACCAGUAGCGAAGGCGACUUUCUGGACACAAACUGACGCUGAGGUACGAAAGCGUGGGGAGCAAACAGG
rnacentral:rRNA from 1 species